AUAACGGAGGAAGAACUCACGGAUGUUACAUACUUUUAAUAUACAAAUACAAACACACAAGUGAACGAGUGGAAUACCAAAGUCGAACUCCUGCUUUUACAUUUGAGAAUAGUAUAUAUAAUAUCAACCUGUCCUAAGGACAUUUUAUAAUGUAUAUGAAUACACACGUUUUAGAGUGACAUAUAUUAAUCAUCCUGACAUAAGGUCAGUCCGUAUGCAUCUCCUGCACUAUAAUACUCAUAAAUCAUGUCAUGUUCCAUAGUGCACAUUAAGAAAUAAAAACCCUAAUAUAUGUAUAUACAUGUUGACUUGUCAUUCUUUUUGAAUAUAGCGUGUAUGACUCAUUAGCCUGUGCAACCAGCUAUACGACAAUUCCUCCAUUACUUAUAAUAAAAAAUAUUAAAAAAAAAAAGUAUUGAACAAGUUAGUAUUUAAUAUCAAACAUUUCAAACUCGUUCUAACAAAUUAUAAAAAUCUAAAAUCAACUUGACAUCUGUUUUACCCUUAAGGUAAUAUCCGGUCAGAGAUGUCCGGUCAGAGAUGUUAUCUAACGACUUUUGUUACUUUAUUUUGAAAAAGAAAAACGCCUUAGGAAACAAUAUUCGGAAAUAUUCGCUCAAUAUAUUUUCUUGUCACUUUUUAAAAAGUUUUCGGAUACUGCAGUCGGGUAAGUUAUAAUUUACUUCAACAAUUUUGUAAUGUUUUUAAUAAGUAAAAAAAAAUAAUUAUUGUUAAAUGUAAAGAUAAUCUUUUCGAAAUUUUUAAUCAGUUAAUAUAACUGUUAUUCUACAAAUAAUAUUAAAGUGACAUAAGGUAAAUAUUAUAGCUUUAUAAUUUUUUCAAUAAAUAUUAAAUUUCCUUUAUUUCAUCAUAAAAAAAAAAAAAAAAAGUUAAUUUCUAGAGAUCAAGAAAACAUAAAAAAACAAACAAAAUAAGUUAACAAUUUUCAAAGAACAAAUUAUUUUAAGAAUAUUAAUUAGAAAAACUUUAAGGUAUAAAAUUUAACAGAAUUAUAUGUAUGAUAAGAGUAGAAAAGAUAUUUAUAUACGAAAAAGUUUAAAAAAUAUUAUAAACAAUUGAUAAUUGAUAAAAUGUCCAGGUGUUUCAUUUCCUGUAAAACGUGUAUUGUGCAUGCGCAUUGAACACUUCCUGUGACAGGUAUAUUUUUUGUAACAGGUACUUGCUGACAUCGGUAUGGCUUGGUCUUCGUGACGUGUCGGGAAUUUCAAAUCGUUGAUAUAUGAACAACAAGACAACUGUCAUAAAAUGCAUAGGAUAAGAAUUCCAAUGAAAGAUGUUCUCUAGUGUACUUCGUUGUGUCCCGCUGUCCAAAAUCGUCGCUUCGACAUCGCUGGUCUUAGGCGCCAAAUCAACCGUUGUCGUAUAACGGAGGAAGAACUCACGGAUGUUACAUACUUUUAAUAUACAAAUACAAACACACAAGUGAACGAGUGGAAUACCAAAGUCGAACUCCUGCUUUUACAUUUGAGAAUAGUAUAUAUAAUAUCAACCUGUCCUAAGGACAUUUUAUAAUGUAUAUGAAUACACACGUUUUAGAGUGACAUAUAUUAAUCAUCCUGACAUAAGGUCAGUCCGUAUGCAUCUCCUGCACUAUAAUACUCAUAAAUCAUGUCAUGUUCCAUAGUGCACAUUAAGAAAUAAAAACCCUAAUAUAUGUAUAUACAUGUUGACUUGUCAUUCUUUUUGAAUAUAGCGUGUAUGACUCAUUAGCCUGUGCAACCAGCUAUA